GGCCAUAGCUCAGGGGCAGAGAAUCUGCCUUUCAAGCAGAAGGUUCCUGGUUCAAUCCCCAAUGGCGUCU